rnacentral:rRNA from 1 species
GUGGGGAAUUUUGGACAAUGGGGGCAACCCUGAUCCAGCCAUGCCGCGUGCGGGAAGAAGGCCUUCGGGUUGUAAACCGCUUUUGUCAGGGAAGAAAUCCUUUGGGUUAAUACCUCGGAGGGAUGACGGUACCUGAAGAAUAAGCACCGGCUAACUACGUGCCAGCAGCCGCGGUAAUACGUAGGGUGCGAGCGUUAAUCGGAAUUACUAGGCGUAAAGCGUGCGCAGGCGGUUUUGUAAGAUCGAUGUGAAAUCCCCGGGCUCAACCUGGGAACUGCAUUGGUGACUGCAAGGCUGGAGUGCGGCAGAGGGGGAUGGAAUUCCGCGUGUAGCAGUGAAAUGCGUAGAUAUGCGGAGGAACACCGAUGGCGAAGGCAAUCCCCUGGGCCUGCACUGACGCUCAUGCACGAAAGCGUGGGGAGCAAACAGGAUUAGAAACCCCAGUAGUCC